rnacentral:lncRNA from 1 species
AUGGGAGGAGGGUUCUUGGAGAAGCAUACGCCGACUUUGGCAAUGGCGGGGUUGCAGUUCAUCUACGCAGGGGUCAACCUCCUAGGGAAGGCUGCUCUCUCUAAAGGGAUGAGCCCUUUGGUUUACCUGUCCUACAGGCAGGGGAUCGCUACCCUUUCGUUGGCCCCCGUUGCAUAUCUCUCCCAAGGGUACAUCCAGGCUCUAUCUCUCCUCUCUCUCUCUCUCUUUCUCUCUCUUCGUCUCUCUGUGUCUGUCUCUUUCUGUUACUCAAAUCUCUCGUUUCUCGUGAAGAACAGGAGGCAGGCCGCUCUAAAAAGGGAAAACUUCUGGUUGAUCUUUCUGGCGGCUCUCUUUGGGUAAAUCUUUCGAGCGAGCUUUCUAGAGCUCUUGUGGCUCCUCUACUGUGCUUCAUGAUGUUGACAUGGCCUGCAGCAUCACCCUCAACCAGGGCCUCUACUUCUUCGGACUACGCUUGGGAUCUGCCUCCAUGGCGACGGCUUUGUCGAACCUUGUCCCUGCUGUAACGUUUCUCAUGGCAGCUCCUCUCGGGUAACACCUCCCUCUCUCCCUUCUCUCUCUCUCUCUCUCUCUCUCUCUCUCUCUCUCGUUCAGUGGAUGUCUGGGGAAUGAACUUCCAUGAAAGAAGACAAGAAGACAAUGGAAACAAUUUUACAGAGAGCUUACUCCCACAGUCACCUAGGACGGAUAGAAACUAAGCUUCCCCCUCUACCUCC